rnacentral:tRNA from 1 species
AAAACUAAGAAAUAUUAAGCUUCUAACUUAAUUAAAGCAAUUAAAUUGUUAUAGUUUUA